CCUAGUUCUCCUAUUGAAAUUGUUGCUUUUCAGUUAUUUUGGGUCUGUGUGUGAUUCUCUGAUUUAUUCCCACCUUGCAUGAGGUUCCAGGGAUUUUCUCCUAUCUCAUGCACAUGUAAAGAUUAUUUGUUGCCUCCUUGAAAACACACACACACACACACAGAUAUGUUAACACAUACCUAAUGUUCUCUAUACUUGAAAAAUUCCUGCAAUAAUUUUCCUUUCUAAUUUUUGCCCAAAAUGGAAAACCUAAAAAAUGUAGAUUUAUAAAACGUUUUUAUUUCUUUGAGACAUUGU
rnacentral:lncRNA from 1 species